CUGGGAGGCAGAUGUUGCAGUGAGCUGAGAUUGUGCCACUGCACUCCAGCCUGGAUGACAGAGCACCCAGGCUGAUUGUCUCUCUCACUCUCUCUCUCUCUCUAUAUAUAUAUACAUAUAUAUACAUAUAUGUAUAUAUAUAUAGAUUCACACACACACAUAUAUGUGUGUAUGUAUAUGUGUGUAUAUAUAGAUAAAUACACACACACACACACAUAUAUGGACUGAUCGGCAGUUUUUUGUAAUUUCAGUAGAGACAGGGUUUCACGUGUUGGCUAGGUGGGUCUUGAACUCCUGGCCUCAAGCAAUCUGCCUCCUUCGCCCUCCCAAAGUAUUGGGAUUACAGCCACUGCUCCUGGCUGACAGCUAAAUGUUGAGCACACAUGGACAUAAAUAUGAGAAAGACACUGUAGACUACUAGAGGGUGGAGAGAGAGUGGCGGACUACCGUCCUCCAAAGCUUGGCAUCACACGAUAUUCCCAUGUCACUGUCACCUGGCUCACUGCUGCUCACCCAGUGCUGAAAACGAAAACUGGUACACAGCAGUAGCUCGGAACUCAGCACUGUGUGUAACUGCCCAAGGUGCAUGCAUAUGCGGACUGGCAUGGGUCACUGUGAGUCUUUAUUGUGUUGUUUCCUCAUGGGUGUGGGGCCUGGACAUUCUGAGACCUUCCUAACUUCAAAUGCUUUUGUUUCCUUAAUGAGGUGACACCUAAUAGAGCACAUAUCCUGAUUCUGUAUUCAAACAGUGUGUUCUCCACACUCUAAUCACCCUCAUUAGGGUGAACCAGUCAACCUAGAUCGGAGAGAGGACAUGUUUUUGCUCUGGGAUUCAACGGAGUUUUCAGUCACUGGCUCCAAGUCUCUGACCUUGAAUGUUCAGAGCUGGAGUAGAAAUUGACUCUUGGUUGAAAUGUUAGACGGAGAGCCCAGCAGGCUGUGUUUGCUCCCAGGGCACUCCUGACCCUCCCCUGUGCCAGCAAGGGGCAGGAAUGUGGGGGAAGUUUCAUGAUGGCAAAAGUCCACUCCCCAGUUGCCAUCAGAUGCCCCUCGUCCCCUCACUGGUGCCAUGUGGGCAGAGUCAGGCCAGCUCACCCGUCAGAAGGGAUGUCACCUUUUGUUCUGGGGCCGAUGAGUGGUUUUCAUCCUCCAGGCACCUGCUCUUGUUGUUACCUGGAAUCCUGGUUACGUCUGGAACUGCAUUGAACACAGUGCUCUCCAUCUUUACCAGCCCCGCCGAUGUGUCCCCAGCACUGUGCGAACUCGCUCCACCCCUCCUGGAACUCCUCAGGUUUUAUUUUCAAUUCAUUUGA
rnacentral:lncRNA from 1 species